AACUCUCUUUUUAGCAUUAAGCGAGAGAGGUUCCUCUCUAUAAGCCAGGUUUAGACAGCUCUCAGGCAGCUGAAUUCCUGCAGGACUGUUUUUAGUUUAUUCCAUCACACUUGUGAAAUAGGAGUAGCACCUCUUUUCUCGGCAAGGAGGCAUUAGGAUAGAUCUGUGCCUGAGAUGAGCAGAUAGGAUGAUAAGACACAUAAAUAUAUUCUGAUAGUUACAGCUGCUUUAAAUGUUUCUGUUGAGACUUGUCUGCAUUGCUUACACUUUUUCCGGCUAACCUGUUUCCUCUGUAUGCUGCCUUCAGCCCCAUACCAGCAAGGAGCCUGGCUGCUUCCCAGGUGCCAUCAGUACAAGAGUGUGCCCUGUACAGGAUCGCUACCUACUAAUAACAUAAAAGGUAAAGCAGGAAGAGUAAAGAUGUGUGUGUUAGCAUUUUCUUUUAAUUGAACUGCUUGAGGUAAACACUAAGCUCUCAGUAGGUUUGCUCUGCCAGAUGAGAACUACCCAAGAAGACACAAAUGGCUCCUACUAAAUGUCAUGCCACUUUUCUGUAGUAUGUCCUACACUAGCUGGUGUGCUCUACCUCCUACUCACCUAGUUCUCACAGACUGUGUGCUAUGCCUGCAACACCUACUUAAGAUGCUAAGGGUUAAUGCAGAUGGGAAAAGUUGUCCUAUGACGUAUGUGACUCAACUGUAAAAACGGUGUUCCUGUUUGAAUUAGUAAGAAUAUUUUAAAAUUAAUAUUCUUCUAUUUCUAAACAAAAAAGUAAAAAGAAGGACCAAAGCCUCUCUUGUUAAAUACAGUGAAACUGAGAUGCUGCAAGGAAAGAAGCUACCUGACUGCCAUCUAAAGCAGUUGAAUUCACAGGGCCUAGGGGAGUUGUCCCGCUGUUCAUUGCAGGAUUACUAACCUGAUGAAUAGCUAUUAUGCAGCAUUUGGCAUUGAAAUGCUUAAGGAAAUACAGACCCAGGUGUCUUCUGGUGGUUUAGAAGCAGAGCUGGUCAGAAAUAAGGCUAAUAGGUAUGAAUCACCAGCCAGCAUGCCCUGGUGAUGGUGACCUACAGGAUUGUAGAAUCCUCAGGAAAAGUCUCUGCCAGCCCCUGAGCUGUUCUGGAAAUUCUGAGGGAGCAGCAGGUGUGUUUGACUCAGAGAACAGCUCUUCUAGGGCUCAAAAAGCUCCUCAACAACAGAAUAUGCAAACCUUUCCCUCUUUCUGUUACAGCUGGAGUGCAAAGAGACUACUGGACAAGUACAUUAAUUGACCAAAAAUCCAUACGCCUUUGACACUGCAGAUAAGUGACACCCAGGUUACUGAACACUGAGCUGAGCCAAGAACAACACUGUCAACCUCCAGCUUUGUGCCAAGAAAAGUGGCUACAAGGGAGUGACAGUGAUUUCUUUUUGAGAGAAAUACUUGAACAAUUUUCAUCUCAUAAGUGAGCCUGAGAUACAAAGAAGGCAGCAGCAGCUGCUGUCUGUGCAAGAUCCACAGAAGGAGUGUCUGACUGUAAGAGAGCAGUAUCCAAGUAGAGUCCCCUGCCCAAAACCACCACAGGACCUCUAUGGCUGAAGAUGGUCAAAACUCAACUGGACAUGACACAGGCAACCUCUUGAAACAUUCUAUUGGCCCUGCCCUGAGGAGGCAGUUGGACAGCGUGACUGCUGGAGGUGCCCUGUAACCUACGCCAUCCCUGAAUUCUCUGCCUACAGAACACUGGGCCAUUUUGGAGUGCCACACAUUGUGGAAGGAGGAAUUUAAUACCAAAGUCUUCCUGAGAAGUUUAUGAACACAAAACAUUUUCAUUUAUCCAGAUGUGAGAGGGAAAAAAGUCAAAAGGUAAUGGCACUCAUACAGGCCUGGGAGAUCACUGCCUACUUUAUCUUUUGAAACUUAUCCACAGUACAUCCAAGGAGUUACCAUCAGUAAGUGGCAGAUGUCUGCUUUUAGAAAAGGGAGGCAGUGCAAUCAGUACUGUAAUGCAGGGGUACUGAGGCAAAUGGUCCAUUUUUCCCCUCCUUUUGAGG